AUUGAACGCUGGCGGCAUGCCUAACACAUGCAAGUCGAACGGGGCAGCAAUGCCUAGUGGCGGACGGGUGAGGAAUACGUAGGAAUCUGCCCUUAAGUGGGGGAUAACCAGGGGAAACCCUGACUAAUACCGUAUGAUCUCUUCGGAGCAAAGAGGGGGACCGCAAGGCCUCUCGCUUCUGGAUGAGCCUACGUCUGAUUAGCUAGUUGGUAGGGUAAAGGCCUACCAAGGCGACGAUCAGUAACUGGUCUGAGAGGAUGAUCAGUCACACCGGAACUGAGACACGGUCCGGACUCCUACGGGAGGCAGCAGUGGGGAAUAUUGGACAAUGGGCGCAAGCCUGAUCCAGCAAUGCCGCGUGUGUGAAGAAGGCCUUCGGGUUGUAAAGCACUUUAGCCUGGAAAGAAAAAACUUUGGUUAACACCCAAAGUCUUGACGGUACCAGGAGAAUAAGCACCGGCUAACUCUGUGCCAGCAGCCGCGGUAAUAC
rnacentral:rRNA from 1 species